UGCAGUUAAAGCUCGUAGUUGGAUUUUGGUUAAGAGGGCGCGGUCGGCCGUUUGGUCUGUACUGCGUUGUCUUGACUUCCUGAUGAGGACAUGCUCUUGGUUAACGCUGAGACAUGGAGUCAUCGUGGUUACUUUGAAAAAAUUAGAGUGUUCAAAGCGGGCUUACGCUUGAAUAUAUUAGCAUGGAAUAACACUAUAGGACUCCUGUCCUAUCUCGUUGGUCUCGGGAUGGGAGUAAUGAUUAAGAGGAACAGUUGGGGGCAUUCGUAUUUCAUUGUCAGAGGUGAAAUUCUUGGAUUUAUGAAAGACGAACUUCUGCGAAAGCAUUUGCCAAGGAUGUUUUCAUUAAUCAAGAACGAAAGUUGGGGGCUCAAAGAUGAUUAGAUACCAUCCUAGUCUCAACCAUAAACGAUGCCGACUAGGGAUUGGUGGAUGUUAAUUGAUGACUUCACCAGCACCUUAUGAGAAAUCAAAGUUUUUGGGUUCCGGGGGGAGUAUGGUCGCAAGGCUGAAACUUAAAGGAAUUGACGGAAGGGCACCACCAGGCGUGGAGCCUGCGGCUUAAUUUGACUCAACACGGGGAAACUUACCAGGUCCAGACAUAAGUAUGAUUGA
rnacentral:rRNA from 1 species